rnacentral:rRNA from 1 species
CAGUCGCCACGGUAAUACGGAGGGGGCUAGCGUUGUUCGGAAUUACUGGGCGUAAAGCGCACGUAGGCGGCUUGGUAAGUUAGAGGUGAAAGCCUGGAGCUCAACUCCAGAAUUGCCUUUAAGACUGCCGAGCUAGCAGGUGAGAGAGGUAAGUGGAGUUCCGAGUGUAGAGGUGAAAUUCGUAGAUAUUCGGAAGAACACCAGUGGCGAAGGCGGCUUACUGGCUCAUACUGGACGCUGAGGUGCGAAAGCGUGGGGAGCAAACAGGAUUAGAUACCCGCGUAGUCCCUGUCUCUUAUAA